rnacentral:rRNA from 1 species
GAUGAACUGUGGGUAGCGGAGAAAUUCCAAUCGAACCCGGAGAUAGCUGGUUCUCCCCGAAAUAGUUUUAGGACUAGCCUCAAGUUAGAUACCUGGAGGUAAAGCACUGAAUAGCCUAGCGGCCGAGAGGUUAGCGAAGCUUAUCAAACUCAGAAUGCCAGAGUAUUGAUGCUUGGGAGUCAGACAGUGUCAGAUAAAUGUCAUUGUCAAAAGGGAAACAGCCCAGAUCUACAGCUAAGGUCCCAAAGUCAGGUUAAGUGGAAAACGAUGUGAAGAUACGCAGACAACCAGGAUGUUGGCUCAGAAGCAGCCACUCAUUCAAAGAGUGCGUAAUAGCUCACUGGUCGAGCGUCUUUGCGCGGAGAAUUUAACGGGGCUAAACCUGACACCGAAGCUUAGGCAAUACAGCAAUGUAUUGGGUAGGGGAGCGUUGUAUACGCGGUGAAACAGUAGCGCAAGCGGCUGUGGAGUGUAUAGAAGUGAGAAUGCCGGAAUGAGUAGCGCGAAUGCAGUGAGAAUCUGCAUGGCCGAAAGCCUCAGGUUUCUGGAGGAAGGUUCGUCCGCUCCAGGUUAGUCGGGAGCUAAGGUGAGGCCUAACGGCGUAGCCGAUGCACAGACGGUAGAGAUUCCGUCACCACCAAAAGAGUUAAACACAGGGACACAUUUGAAGUCUCGGAGCCGGGUGUUGGUUCCGGUAGCGAUCGAGGGAAGUUAGUACCGAAGUCCGGGAUGGAAGAUGGCGAGAAAAGCUGUGUGUAUUUCUGCGGUGCCCGUACCGCAAACCGACACAGGUAGGUAGGAAGAAGAUUCUAAGGCCAACGGGAGAAGGGUUGUUAAGGAACUCGGCAAAUUGACCCCGUAACUUCGGGAGAAGGGGUGCUCCAGAGAUGGAGCCGCAGAGAAUCGGCCCAAGCAACUGUUUACCAAAAACACAGGUUUGUGCUAAAUCGAAAGAUGACGUAUACGAGCUGACGCCUGCCCGGUGCUGGAAGGUUAAAAGGAGAUGUGCAAGCAUUGAAUUGAAGCCCCAGUGAACGGCGGCCGUAACUAUAACGGUCCUAAGGUAGCGAAAUUCCUUGUCAGGUAAGUUCUGACCCGCAUGAAAGGCGUAAUGAUUUGGGCACUGUCUCAACAGCCCGCCCGGCGAAAUUGUAGUACCGGUGAAGAUGCCGGUUACCCGCGACAAGACGGAAAGACCCCAUGGAGCUUUACUGUAGCCUAAUAUUGGGUUUCGAUGUUGCAUGCACAGGAUAGAUGGGACACUGGGAAGCAAGUGCUUUGGCAUUUGUGGAGUGGCCGUUGGGAUACCAUCCUUGCGAUAUUGGAAUUCUAACCUGCGCCUUUGAAUCAAGGCGGGGGACAUUGUUAGGUGGGCAGUUUGACUGGGGCGGUCGCCUCCUAAAGAGUAACGGAGGCGUUCAAAGGUUCGCUCAGCUUGAACGGAAAUCAAGCAAAAGAGUGCAAACGCAGAAGCGAGCCUAACUGCGAGACUGACGGGUCGAGCAGUAACGAAAGUUGGAGUUAGUGAUCCGGUGGUAUGUGAGUGGAAAUGCCAUCGCUCAACGGAUAAAAGCUACCCUGGGGAUAACAGGCUGAUCUCCCCCAAGAGUCCACAUCGACGGGGAGGUUUGGCACCUCGAUGUCGGCUCAUCGCAUCCUGGGGCUGUAUUCGGUCCCAAGGGUUUGGCUGUUCGCCAAUUAAAGCGGUACGCGAGCUGGGUUCAGAACGUCGUGAGACAGUUCGGUCCCUAUCUGUCGUGGGCGCAGGAUAUUUGAUGGGAGCUGUCCCUAGUACGAGAGGACCGGGACGGACGUACCUCUGGCGCACCAGUUGUUCCGCCAGGAGCAUAGCUGGGCAACUACGUACGGAUCGGAUAAACGCUGAAAGCAUCUAAGCGUGAAGCCGACCCAAAGAUAAGAUAUCCCAUUGUUUCAAACAAGUAAGACCCCUUGAAGACUACAAGGUUGAUAGGCACGAUGUGUAAGUGGAGUGAUCCAUUCAGCAAGCGUGUACUAAUAGGUCGAGGGCUUGACCAC